GGCAGCACAGGCUCCUCCUGCUCCAGGGAGAGAGGGCAACCCUUCCUCUGCCUUCCACAGAGAAACUGUUUUCCCUCCUGGCAGCAAGAUUUCAUAAUCCCAAAAGCAGGGGGAAGGCAGCUGUACUGCACAUGCCAAGGUGAAACAAAAUAAUUGAUCACAAGGGUGGAUACAGAGCAUCAGAAUUGUGGUUAUUAAAGUUUUACUGCUGGCAACAAUCCUUGGCUCAGUGCUCUUGAAUUCUACCCUGGAACCCACAGGUA